rnacentral:rRNA from 1 species
AAAACGACUCUCGGCAACGGAUAUCUCGGUCUCGCAUCGAUGAAGAACGUAGCGAAAUGCGAUACUUGGUGUGAAUUGCAGAAUCCCGUGAACCAAUCGAGUCUUUGAACGCAAGUUGCGCCCGAAGCCAUUAGGCCGAGGGCACGUCUGCCUGGGCGUCACG